UGGUCAGGAUGUUUGCAUUCUCUGUUCC
rnacentral:piRNA from 1 species